AGAGUAAAAAAUAUUACUUAAGAUUGCUCUUAAGCUAUAUUAAAGACUUGAAAUCAUUUGAUAACCUACUAGCAAUAAAAGGUGUCCAGUGCUUAACAUUUAAAGAAACCCGGGAGAAAUAUAAUUCAUGCAAAAGUAAAUAGUAGGAUAACAUGCUUAGAAGCAUAUCGCUAUUACACACAAAAAAUUAAAGAUACACAUCUCAUUUCAAAAGAAAGCAAUUCUCAAUUCGUU
rnacentral:misc_RNA from 1 species